rnacentral:lncRNA from 1 species
UCUUGUUGGCAUUGCCCUUACCGGACAUCCCAUGCUCUGCCCUUCUCAAGGUUGCAGUUUCUCUGCUGUCAGGGCAUUGCUGGACAGUCAUACAUGGAGGACUCACUGCUGGAUCCCUGCACCUUGUCUGGCCAGAUGCUUCCAUUUCCUGGAACAUACUCAGCCUCCCCUGGGUGGCUGUGUCUAGUGAUGAGACACCUCCCAGCGGCUCGCACACCAUCGCAGCCUCUUCCAGGUUCCAGCAGUCAUGGCAUACUGUACACCAAGCUUCCACGGGGAAAUGAAAAGAGGCAGAGAAAGAGACAAAGAAGAGAGAACACAGUUGCCUUUUAAAGGCAAGAUAUUGGGCAACCCCUAGCUUAUCAUCAGAGGUAAACUGAAUCUCCCAUUGUGCUUGAAGCAGUGACUUCACAUCCGAGGUAGCCUACUGGUACCAGCAGGGGGCAAGGUAGCCCAUACCUUUCUCAUACUCCCAGCAUGUACUUCUCAGGGAUCCACUCAAAUCCCAGUCCGGGGAUCUUUUUUGUGGCCAGUGUCCUCGGUUUCAUCAUGGGACACUGUAUUUUCCUCUUUCUCAUUAUCCUGAUGAUUCAUCAGUGUAGAAAGAGGAGAGUGUUCCAAGGUAGAGAACAGCAGCAUCCUGGGAAUUCCGAGAGCUGUAGGUAGUGGGCAGGAAGAACGGUUGCUGUGGGAGACCGGAUUUGAGCCUCGACUUCCCCAAACUUUCUGGACAAUGACAUUUGUUCUCCAGAUUCUCAAACUCAGUGACUUUAGUGUCAAGAAAUAUGGUGUCAUAGCAAAAGGAUAUUUUUCUGAAGUUCUAAAGUAGAACAUGAGGUCAGGAAAGAGGCUCUGACUGGGGUAGGAAUUGUAGGGUUGUCCAGAGGCAUGAAGGGCAUGGGAUCUGAUGGCUAGAGAGCAGACUAGUGAGCACAGGGAGAGUCUAUAUUAAGGCAUUUUAGGGAGGAAGAACUGAUGGAGAGACUCCUGAAUGAGGAAGAGAAGGCUGGAAGUCUGGUUUGUGAGCUCAAGACCAUAGCGUAUCACUGAAGGGACCAAUGUGGCUGUACUGAAACCAUCUGCACCAUGGUCCAGGCUAGGGCUUCAGAGGACACCGCAGUGGUCACCAGCUGUUUUGAUGCUGCACUGUGGCCUCACUUUUUAUAAACUAUCCCAAAAUAACCAUUUGUGCCCUUCUCACUCGUGUCUGUGAUUUAGAACUCUGCGACCAUCUAAUGACUUCAGUACAGGCUGAUUAUAUAGAACGGGCAAAGCAGCUCCUU